AGCGAACGCUGGCGGCAGGCCUAACACAUGCAAGUCGAACGGACCCUUCGGGGUUAGUGGCGGACGGGUGAGUAACACGUGGGAACGUGCCUUUAGGUUCGGAAUAGCUCCUGGAAACGGGUGGUAAUGCCGAAUGUGCCCUUCGGGGGAAAGAUUUAUCGCCUUUAGAGCGGCCCGCGUCUGAUUAGCUAGUUGGUGAGGUAACGGCUCACCAAGGCGACGAUCAGUAGCUGGUCUGAGAGGAUGACCAGCCACACUGGGACUGAGACACGGCCCAGACACCUACGGGAGGGAGCGGUGGGGAAUCUUGCGCAAUGGGCGAAAGCCUGACGCAGGCAUGCCGCGUGAAUGAUGAAGGUCUUAGGAUUGUAAAAUUCUUUCACCGGGGACGAUAAUUACGGUACCCGGAGAAGAAGCCCCGGCUAACUUCGUGCCAGCCGCCGCAGUAA
rnacentral:rRNA from 1 species